CCUUCCUGUGAGGAAGGCAUUCAACCCAUUUGAUACCUGAGGAAACUGAAGCCCAGAGAGCUCCUUGACUUGCCCAAGCCUGCGCAGGUUGGAGACGUCGUGGGACGUAUCUUAAUCUGGCUGGACAAUGUCUGUCAUCCCAGAGCCAGAAAAACAGCGCUGAGAGCCACGGCCUUGCUGGCUCGUUCCCACCCCCAGGAAGUGGUUCUGAGCUGUGUGGCGCACACGCUGUCAUCGGACAGGCAAUGAGGACCAUUUACGAGGUCCUUUUCCUAUGGGGAUACCGAGAAGCCAUCCUGGAAAUGUAUCCCCAGAUGCUCAUCCUCUGCGUCAGGCAAGUGCAGUAUGUGAUGGGUCUGCACUUGCCAGGGACCUACAUGGCCAGCACAACAUCCAGCCCCAAGGAGGGAUCCAGCUGCCUCAAUCUCCUAAGGUAAAGACUGAAAGUUAAAGGAAGAACAGAUUUCUUCUGCUAAACACAUGUGCUCUCUUCAUGGCCAUCAUUUCUUCGGGUGCUGUAGUUAGCCCAGGCUCAGUUCGGUGCAGGUCUCUCUUGAAGGAAAAGGGCUGAGAGCCGUGUGUUCUUGUGAGUCACACUCGCUCAUCUGACUCCAUCCACAGGACAGCUGCUUGCACUACACAGUCAGGCAGCAGUCAUGUUUGUGCAGCCGUCCACAUGUGCCACCUGCCAAAGUGUCGGUGCUUUUAUCAGGGCCUGCUGAGCAAAUCUCUGGGCCUCCGUCCCAGAACGCGGACAGAGCCACACCAACAGCACAUGGGGCCAGGCACGCAGGAUGUCAGUGUCACAGGUAGACAGGAGGAAGGGGAACCAGUUCAACUGGUUCUGUGGGCACAGUUCGGGGCCUCCAUCUACAUGGCAAAAAGAGAGCGCCAGAAGACACAGCUUUACUCACCUACACCAAGAAAGGAUCUGGCCCCACAUGCCUGCUUGAGUCCUGUUACCUGCCACAGUAAAGAAUCAAGUAGUCAACCUCAUUGAGUGAUGACACCAACCAUCUUAAAAAGCUACAGUGUCACUAACUGGUUACAAACUCAAUGAACCUGCAGUGACCACAGGGCCCAUUGGGCAGGGAAGCACCAUGAGAUCACACUGGAUCUAUCCUCGGGGAGGCUAGCUCCUGCUGACCAUGCUGCGUGUGCCAGGGCUUGUGCAGAUUUGCCAUGCUUGGGGCUGAUCUCGUUGCCUGACAUUGGAAUUUUUUUGUCAAUUAGCACGUCAGUGGAGGCUGUGAAGACUCUUUUUUCCAUGCCCGGAUACUGGAAGGAAUUUGCCAGCAUCCAGUUUCAGCAGGGCUGGGACAUGAUAGCCUCCCGCAAUUACUACUCGCACGGUGUUGGCGUGAUUGCAAGGUAGGAGCCCAAAUUUUCCCUAUGAAAUAUUCCUCUGUUCCAGGCUGCCAUUUCAGCCCAGCAACUAGAGAGGAACUCUCUCUCUCCCCUUUGAUAACCACAAGGGACUUUCUGUUCCAUGUUCCAGAGCCAUGAUCGAGUUUGAGAACCCGCAGCUCCCUGCAGUUUUCAAAGAGGCUGUCACCAUUGUCCAAAGGGAGAAGGAGGAGGAGCUGAGAAA